rnacentral:misc_RNA from 1 species
GCAAACUUGGUCAUUUAGAGGAAGUAAAAGUCGUAACAAGGUUUCCGUAGGUGAACCUGCGGAAGGAUCAUUAUUGUACUAUAAGAUCGUAAUUUCAAAAUUUUCGGUUCUUUUUAAAAAAUUUUUCCUGUUAAAUGAAAUUACGAUCAUUUAGUACAUCCUUAACAGGAGCAAAGAAAUAUUUAAAACCCAACUCUAUGAAUCAUCAUUUUUUAUGUGAAAAAAAUAAAAAGAUCACUUUCAACAACGGAUCUCUUGGCUCUCGCAUCGAUGAAGAACGCAGC